GAUGAACGCUAGCUACAGGCUUAACACAUGCAAGUCGAGGGGAAACGACAUCGAAAGCUUGCUUUUGAUGGGCGUCGACCGGCGCACGGGUGAGUAACGCGUAUCCAACCUGCCCAUCACUUGGGAAUAACCUUGCGAAAGUAAGACUAAUACCCAAUGACAUCCCACGAAGACAUCUGAAUGGGAUUAAAAAUUUAUCGGUGAUGGAUGGGGAUGCGUCUGAUUAGCUUGUUGGCGGGGUAACGGCCCACCAAGGCAACGAUCAGUAGGGGUUCUGAGAGGAAGGUCCCCCACAUUGGAACUGAGACACGGUCCAAACUCCUACGGGAGGCAGCAGUGAGGAAUAUUGGUCAAUGGGCGAGAGCCUGAACCAGCCAAGUAGCGUGCAGGAUGACGGCCCUAUGGGUUGUAAACUGCUUUUAUAAGGGAAUAAAGUGGGUCUCGUGAGACUUUUUGCAUGUACCUUAUGAAUAAGGACCGGCUAAUUCCGUG
rnacentral:rRNA from 1 species